UCAGACGAUGCGUCAUGCAUAUCAAUAAGCGGAGGAAAAGAAACUAACAAGGAUUCCCCUAGUAACGGCGAGUGAAGCGGGAAGAGCUCAAAUUUGAAAUCUUAAAGGGUUUCCCUUUACGAAUUGUAGUUUAAAGAAGUGUUUUCUGUUGAGGUUUUGGUAAAAGUUCUUUGGAAUAGGACAUCAUAGAGGGUGAGAAUCCCGUAUUUGACCUUUACUUUCAACUUUGUGAUACACUUUCAAAGAGUCGGAUCGUUUGGGAAUGCAGUCCAAAAUGGGUGGUAAAUUUCAUCUAAAGCUAAAUAUUGGCGAGAGACCGAUAGCGAACAAGUACCGUGAGGGAAAGAUGAAAAGAACUUUGAAAAGAGAGUUAAACAGUACGUGAAAUUGUCAAAAGGGAAGCGUUUGACACCAGUGUUGUUUUUCUGAAAAUCAAUUAAAGAACUGUUUAUGCUAAGUUGUUUAGACUUUAUCAGCUAACUGUUUAGUUUUGAGCUUUUCUUUAAUGCACUUUUCAGUUAACAAGUCAACAUCAAUUUCUUUUGCUGUAAAAAAGCUUGAGGAAGGUGGCUUGAGAUUCGUCUUAAGUGUUUAUAGCCUCUUGCCUAUGCAGUCGGAGAGAUUGAGGUCUGCAGCGUAGAUCCUUCGGGGCUAAAUGCAUUUGUGCUAAGUUAUAGCAUUCUAUAGACAACUUGUUGACUAUGAUUUGUCUUGUAGCUUACUCGCUUAUGUUAUUUUACCUACGCUUAGGAUGUUGAGCGCAUGUCUCUCUCU
rnacentral:rRNA from 1 species